rnacentral:rRNA from 1 species
UUGGAGGGCAAGUCUGGUGCCAGCAGCCGCGGUAAUUCCAGCUCCAAUAGCGUAUAUUAAAGUUGUUGCAGUUAAAAAGCUCGUAGUUGAAUUUCGGGAUUAAUUUAUUGGUCGUGCUAUUGUACGUACUGGUAUUAUUGAUUCCUACCUUCUGACGAACCAUGAUGUCAUUAAUUUGGUGUCAUGGGGAAUCAGGACUGUUACUUUGAAAAAAUUAGAGUGUUCAAAGCAGGCCCUUUGGGCUUGAAUACAUUAGCAUGGGAUAAUAGAAUAGGACUUUUGGUUCUAUUUUGUUGGUUUUUGAGAACCAGAGUAAUGAUGAAUAGGAACAGUUGGGGGCAUUCAUAUUCAAUCGCUAGAGGUGAAAUUCCUAGAUUGAUUGACGAUGAACUACUGCGAAAGCAUUUGCCAAGGAUGUUUCCAUUAAUCAAGAACGAAAGUUAGGGGAUCGAAGACAAUCAGAUACUGUCGUAGUCUUAACCAUAAACGAUGCCGACUAGGGAUCAGACAGGCUUAUAUUUAAUGACCUGUUCGGCGCCUUACGGGAAAC